rnacentral:rRNA from 1 species
UACGUAGGGUGCAAGCGUUGUCCGGAAUUAUUGGGCGUAAAGAGCUCGUAGGCGGUUUGUUGCGUCGGCUGUGAAAUCCCGAGGCUCAACCCCGGGCCUGCAGCCGAUACGGGCAAGCUAGAAUUCGGUAGGGGAGACUGGAAUUCCUGGUGUAGCGGUGAAAUGCGCAGAUAUCAGGAGGAACACCGGUGGCGAAGGCGGGUCUCUGGGCCGAUAUUGACGCUGAGGAGCGAAAGCGUGGGGAGCGAACAGG